AUUGAACGCUGGCGGCAGGCUUAACACAUGCAAGUCGAACGCGUGGCGGACGGGUGAGUCAUGCUUGGGAAUCUCGCUUAUGGAGGGGGAUAACUAAGGGAAACUGUAGCUAAUACCGCGUACCAUAGGAUGAGCCCAAGUGGGAUUAGGUAGUUGGUGAGGUAAAGGCUCAACAAGCCGACGAUCGCUAGCUGGUCUGAGAGGCUGACCAGCCACACUGGGACGGAGACACGGCCCAGACUCCUACGGGAGGCAGCAGUGGGGAAUAUUGCGCAAUGGGGGCAACCCUGACGCAGCCAUGCCGCGUGUAUGAAGAAGGCCUUAGGGUUGUAAAGUACUUUCAGCGGGGAGGCGUUACCCGCAGAAGAAGCACCGGCUAACUCCGUGCCAGCAGCCGCGGUAAUUC
rnacentral:rRNA from 1 species